rnacentral:lncRNA from 1 species
AGGAGGAGGUCCUCUGAGCCCUGAGGCAGAGAUCUCUCACCUGGAAGAUGGGUCUAAUGACUGCGCCCCACACACACCAGAGAGGACUGCAGAUAGUGCGGGAUGAGAGGAAGAUCUCUGGCCCUGGAGACAGCAUCAUCAAGCGAAAACGUAUGAGGAAGAAAAUAGCAGAUGAGAAGAAUCAACCAAAUUCCGGAAGCUGGAAGGCAGAUGCAAGAAGGCCCUUGAAUGAUGCCAGCACCUUGAUAUUGGACUUUCCAGCCUCCAGAACCAUGAGCCAAUACAUUUCUGUUCCAUAAAAAUUACCCAGUUCCAGGUAUUCUGCUAUAGCAGCACAAAAUGGACUAAAACAAUGUUGGCACAAGACUCAGUGCUGGGCCUGGCAUGCAACAGGUCCUUGGAGUGGCGUGCUGUGUGGAUAAUGAAUAUUGGGGAAGGCAUCUCUCUCCAGCCCCUCUCAAGCUUUCUGUAGUCACUGGUCCACUCUGUAUUGCUAUGAAGAAGCUCAAGACCAGCCUGUAUCACUCGGGGUCCUGGCAGGAACCAGGUGCCACACUCAAACUGAGUAAUUGAAGAGGGUUUAAUAUGGGAGUUAUUUACAUAGGUGUGGGCUGGUGUAGCUGCCCAUAUGCCCUCAAAAUCACCUCUACAUGGCAAUAGCUACUUACUGCUAACAGAGUCUCUCUCUCAUUGCUGCAAAUAUUUUCUAGCCAUGCAAGAAACUCAGCCGGUCAUGUUGAACAAACUAAGAGUGCCAGGAAGUUAAUGUCCUGGAAGCAUUGCCAGAGGGGAGGGGGCAGUUAGAUUCCCCAGCUUCCUCGCUCCUCUGCUGGGUUAAGCCUGCAACAUAUUCAUCAUCUCCCAGAGUGCUGCCCAGGGAUAGAGCUCCAGGUGCUCAGUGUGGUGACCUGCUCAUGUCAGCUUCUUCCCCUUUCCUGUCUUGUUUCGCACCCACAUCCUUCCCAUGUUUCCUCUUCCCAAAUAAACUACUUGCAUUGAAA